GACGAACGCUGGCGGCGUGCCUAAUACAUGCAAGUCGAGCGGGCCUCCGGAGGUGCUUGCACCUCCGGACGGCCAGCGGCGGACGGGUGAGUAACACGUGGGCAACCUGCCUUUGAGGCCGGGAUAACACCGGGAAACCGGUGCUAAUACCGGAUACGUCCUCUUUCGCGCCUGCGAGAGGGGAGAAAGACGGUCUUUAAGGCCGUCGCUCAAAGAGGGGCCCGCGGCGCAUUAGCUGGUUGGUGGGGCAAGGGCCUACCAAGGCGACGAUGCGUUGCCGACCUGGGAGGGUGAUCGGCCACAGUGGGACUGAGACACGGCCCAGACUCCUGCGGGAGGCAGCAGUAGGGAAUCAUCCGCAAUGGGCGAAAGCCUGACGGUGCAACGCCGCGUGAGUGAGGAAGGUUUUCGGAUCGUAAAGCUCUGUUGUGAGGGAAGAACAGCAUCCGGAGGAAAUGCCGGAGGUUUGCCGGUACCUCACCAGAAAGCCCCGGCUAACUACGUGCCAGCCGCCGCAGUAAAAC
rnacentral:rRNA from 1 species